rnacentral:Y_RNA from 1 species
CAUUAAUCUCACGGUAGUGAGUUAUCUCAAUUGACUGCUCACAGUCAGUUAUGGAUUGAACUCCUUAUUCUACUCUUUCCCCACUUCUCACUACUGCACUUGACUAGUCUUAA